rfam:Sus scrofa chromosome 7.
UCCAUGGUGGCUCAGUGGGUUAAGGAGCCAGCAUUGUCACUGCUAUGGCUCAGGUUCCAUCCCUGGCCUGGGAA